AAGUGGAUAGUGAAACCUGGUGGCUCAACCAUACAGACUAUUAUCCAAACUGCUGAGCUCGAGAAUGGUAGAGGUAGCUGGAAUUUCCAGUGUAGGGGUGAAAUCCGUAGAUAUAGGAAGGAACACCAAUGGCGUAGGCAGGCUACUGGACCAUUUCUGACGCUAAGGCACGAAAGCGUGGGAGCGAACCGGAUUAGAUACCCCGGUAGUCCACGCCGUAAACGAUGGAUGCUA
rnacentral:rRNA from 1 species